GACGAACGCUGGCGGCGUGCUUAACACAUGCAAGUCGAACGGAAAGGCCCUGCUUGCAGGGUCCUCGAGUGGCGAACGGGUGAGUAACACGUGGGUGAUCUGCCCUGCACUUCGGGAUAAGCCUGGGAAACUGGGUCUAAUACCGGAUAGGAGCCAUUUUUAGUGUGAUGGUUGGAAAGUUUUUUCGGUGUAGGAUGAGCUCGCGGCCUAUCAGCUUGUUGGUGGGGUAAUGGCCUACCAAGGCGGCGACGGGUAGCCGGCCUGAGAGGGUGGACGGCCACAUUGGGACUGAGAUACGGCCCAGACUCCUACGGGAGGCAGCAGGGGGGAAUAUUGCACAAUGGGCGCAAGCCUGAUGCAGCGACGCCGCGUGGGGGAUGACGGCCUUCGGGUUGUAAACUCCUUUCGCUAGGGACGAAGCUUUUUGUGACGGUACCUAGAGAAGAAGCACCGGCUAACUACGUG
rnacentral:rRNA from 1 species